rnacentral:sRNA from 1 species
CCACAAUCAGCUAGGUUAACCAAGGUUAAUCUCCAUAUUGAUCGUAUAGGACACGAUACACUAUUAUUCGGGGCCAUAUUGGUGGUCGUUUUCAGGAUACAAUACGUACAUCGAAGCGGCCAAUGGUACAAUGUAGUGGCAGAAGGUCUGAGCUCAUGGUUGUGUGCGUGGAAGGAGGCUGGUGCGUGGGAAGGUUACGUGGCGUGUAGUUUGUGUUUUCAUUCCUUUUGAUACUUGAUCUCUUCUCCAUUCAAAGACCUUUGGAUUCAUAUCCAAGGUCACGAAUCAUCCAGGCCCAGACACUAGAGGCCCAUUAGACAUACACCAGCACGCCCAAGCAUCCGCCUUCCCCCCCCACUCAUCAGUAACCUGACAUCUCACAACACCCCUACAUAUCGACUGGCCUGACCUACACCUGUCAGCCCAAAGCUGAGCUGUGAGAUGAAGAAGUCGAGUCGCCAAUACCUCGCGAACAAAAUUGAGUUACCGGCGUUCGAUGAUCCCCUUUUCCCGCUUUUCGGGGCCAUGUACGUGUUAGGUAUUCAAUCAGCUUGUGUCAUUAUUGUGACUAGAGGGGAAAAAAUGUGGCCUGUCCUUCUGAUCAGCGACAUCUGUUUUCUCGCCGUGUUCAUGGCCUUGGCAGGAGUUGGGUUGGGCCAUCGUGGCUUCAGUUUGGCGAUCGGGAAUGGCUCAGUUGUUUGAAGAUGGACGUGGCAAACGCAUGCUUGGUUGCCUAUGCCUGAUGAUGAUCGCCAGUCGAAAAUAUCAACUAGGUUAUCGAAUAUUUGCUUGCCCUGUGUGGGCCCUUUCCGCCUCGCUUUUCGCCCGAUUUAGAAUCCUCCCAAACCGCCCUCCUUCCUCCCAGUCCUCUUUCCCUUCCUUCGCCGAAAGGGAAGAUUGGUACGGUGUCUUUUUCUGCUUGAUAGUGUGUCUGGUGGGCCUCGAAUGUCUGGGGCUGGAUGAUUCGUGACCAUGUAUAUGUAUGGAAAGGGCUUUGAAGUAAUGAGAGAUAGAUAGAAAUAAUAAGAAUGCUCAAGGGUGAGAUCUAGUACACAGGGCCUGACUAUCAUGUAAAUUUGGCCAUUCGCAAAUGAAUUCGCCUUUCGCGGACAGG